rnacentral:rRNA from 1 species
GGUUAAGCGACUAAGCGUACACGGUGGAUGCCCUGGCAGUCAGAGGCGAUGAAGGACGUGCUAAUCUGCGAUAAGCGUCGGUAAGGUGAUAUGAACCGUUAUAACCGGCGAUUUCCGAAUGGGGAAACCCAGUGUGUUUCGACACACUAUCAUUAACUGAAUCCAUAGGUUAAUGAGGCGAACCGGGGGAACUGAAACAUCUAAGUACCCCGAGGAAAAGAAAUCAACCGAGAUUCCCCCAGUAGCGGCGAGCGAACGGGGAGCAGCCCAGAGCCUGAAUCAGUAUGUGUGUUAGUGGAAGCGUCUGGAAAGGCGCGCGAUACAGGGUGACAGCCCCGUACACAAAAAUGCACAUAUUGUGAGCUCGAUGAGUAGGGCGGGACACGUGGUAUCCUGUCUGAAUAUGGGGGGACCAUCCUCCAAGGCUAAAUACUCCUGACUGACCGAUAGUGAACCAGUACCGUGAGGGAAAGGCGAAAAGAACCCCGGCGAGGGGAGUGAAAAAGAACCUGAAACCGUGUACGUACAAGCAGUGGGAGCACGCUUAGGCGUGUGACUGCGUACCUUUUGUAUAAUGGGUCAGCGACUUAUAUUCUGUAGCAAGGUUAACCGAAUAGGGGAGCCGAAGGGAAACCGAGUCUUAACUGGGCGUUAAGUUGCAGGGUAUAGACCCGAAACCCGGUGAUCUAGCCAUGGGCAGGUUGAAGGUUGGGUAACACUAACUGGAGGACCGAACCGACUAAUGUUGAAAAAUUAGCGGAUGACUUGUGGCUGGGGGUGAAAGGCCAAUCAAACCGGGAGAUAGCUGGUUCUCCCCGAAAGCUAUUUAGGUAGCGCCUCGUGAAUUCAUCUCCGGGGGUAGAGCACUGUUUCGGCAAGGGGGUCAUCCCGACUUACCAACCCGAUGCAAACUGCGAAUACCGGAGAAUGUUAUCACGGGAGACACACGGCGGGUGCUAACGUCCGUCGUGAAGAGGGAAACAACCCAGACCGCCAGCUAAGGUCCCAAAGUCAUGGUUAAGUGGGAAACGAUGUGGGAAGGCCCAGACAGCCAGGAUGUUGGCUUAGAAGCAGCCAUCAUUUAAAGAAAGCGUAAUAGCUCACUGGUCGAGUCGGCCUGCGCGGAAGAUGUAACGGGGCUAAACCAUGCACCGAAGCUGCGGCAGCGACACUAUGUGUUGUUGGGUAGGGGAGCGUUCUGUAAGCCUGUGAAGGUGUGCUGUGAGGCAUGCUGGAGGUAUCAGAAGUGCGAAUGCUGACAUAAGUAACGAUAAAGCGGGUGAAAAGCCCGCUCGCCGGAAGACCAAGGGUUCCUGUCCAACGUUAAUCGGGGCAGGGUGAGUCGACCCCUAAGGCGAGGCCGAAAGGCGUAGUCGAUGGGAAACAGGUUAAUAUUCCUGUACUUGGUGUUACUGCGAAGGGGGGACGGAGAAGGCUAUGUUGGCCGGGCGACGGUUGUCCCGGUUUAAGCGUGUAGGCUGGUUUUCCAGGCAAAUCCGGAAAAUCAAGGCUGAGGCGUGAUGACGAGGCACUACGGUGCUGAAGCAACAAAUGCCCUGCUUCCAGGAAAAGCCUCUAAGCAUCAGGUAACAUCAAAUCGUACCCCAAACCGACACAGGUGGUCAGGUAGAGAAUACCAAGGCGCUUGAGAGAACUCGGGUGAAGGAACUAGGCAAAAUGGUGCCGUAACUUCGGGAGAAGGCACGCUGAUAUGUAGGUGAAGUCCCUCGCGGAUGGAGCUGAAAUCAGUCGAAGAUACCAGCUGGCUGCAACUGUUUAUUAAAAACACAGCACUGUGCAAACACGAAAGUGGACGUAUACGGUGUGACGCCUGCCCGGUGCCGGAAGGUUAAUUGAUGGGGUUAGCCGCAAGGCGAAGCUCUUGAUCGAAGCCCCGGUAAACGGCGGCCGUAACUAUAACGGUCCUAAGGUAGCGAAAUUCCUUGUCGGGUAAGUUCCGACCUGCACGAAUGGCGUAAUGAUGGCCAGGCUGUCUCCACCCGAGACUCAGUGAAAUUGAACUCGCUGUGAAGAUGCAGUGUACCCGCGGCAAGACGGAAAGACCCCGUGAACCUUUACUAUAGCUUGACACUGAACAUUGAGCCUUGAUGUGUAGGAUAGGUGGGAGGCUUGGAAGUGUGGACGCCAGUCUGCAUGGAGCCGACCUUGAAAUACCACCCUUUAAUGUUUGAUGUUCUAACGUUGACCCGUAAUCCGGGUUGCGGACAGUGUCUGGUGGGUAGUUUGACUGGGGCGGUCUCCUCCUAAAGAGUAACGGAGGAGCACGAAGGUUGGCUAAUCCUGGUCGGACAUCAGGAGGUUAGUGCAAUGGCAUAAGCCAGCUUGACUGCGAGCGUGACGGCGCGAGCAGGUGCGAAAGCAGGUCAUAGUGAUCCGGUGGUUCUGAAUGGAAGGGCCAUCGCUCAACGGAUAAAAGGUACUCCGGGGAUAACAGGCUGAUACCGCCCAAGAGUUCAUAUCGACGGCGGUGUUUGGCACCUCGAUGUCGGCUCAUCACAUCCUGGGGCUGAAGUAGGUCCCAAGGGUAUGGCUGUUCGCCAUUUAAAGUGGUACGCGAGCUGGGUUUAGAACGUCGUGAGACAGUUCGGUCCCUAUCUGCCGUGGGCGCUGGAGAACUGAGGGGGGCUGCUCCUAGUACGAGAGGACCGGAGUGGACGCAUCACUGGUGUUCGGGUUGUCAUGCCAAUGGCACUGCCCGGUAGCUAAAUGCGGAAGAGAUAAGUGCUGAAAGCAUCUAAGCACGAAACUUGCCCCGAGAUGAGUUCUCCCUGACUCCUUGAGAGUCCUGAAGGAACGUUGAAGACGACGACGUUGAUAGGCCGGGUGUGUAAGCGCAGCGAUGCGUUGAGCUAACCGGUACUAAUGAACCGUGAGGCUUAACCUU